rnacentral:rRNA from 1 species
UACGGGAAGGCAGCAGUGGGGAAUAUUGCACAAUGGGCGAAAGCCUGAUGCAGCUAUGCCGCGUGUAUGAAGAAGGCCUUAGGGUUGUAAAGUACUUUCAUCGGGGAGGAAAAACAAAACUAAUAAUUUUAUUUCUUGACGUUACCCGAAAAAGAAGCACCGGCUAACUCCGUGCCAGCAGCCGCGGUAAUACGGAGGGUGCUAGCGUUAAUCAGAAUUACUGGGCGUAAAGAGCACGUAGGUGGUUUUUUUAAAGUCAGAUGUGAAAUCCCUGGGCUUAACCUAGGAACUGCAUUUUGAAACUGAAAUACUAGAGUAUCGUAGAGGGAGGUAGAAUUCUAGGUGUAGCGGUGAAAUGCGUAGAUAUCUGGAGGAAUACCUGUGGCGAAAGCGGCCUCCUAAACGAAAUACUGACACUGAGGUGCGAAAAGCGUGGGGAGCAAAACAGGGAAUUAGACUACC